ACCUCUUAAAGGGUAACCCACAUGAAAAAAACUCUCUCAAUGGUCUCGUGGUAAAUAACUCAUCUAACUCCCUUGCAUUCUCCACCAGAUCAACCAUCACAUUCCACCACUCAACAAACAAGAUUUUCACCUCUUUCUUUUCGAAGCUUAGUUGCUUUAGAAAAAAAUUAUCAACACAAAAAUGCUCAUGAGGAUGGCAAGAAAGUGGCGGUGAGUAGCAGCCCUCAAAAGGAAAAGAAUUUCGUUGCCAAGAUCAAGUGGAGAUGCAAACCAAACUGCUAAAAAUGCAAAGUUAGUGGCAGAUAAAGGCAAUUUUGUUGUUUACGCAGUUGAUGAAUGACGUUUUGUCUUCCCUAUAGCGUAUCUAAACAAUCCCAUUAUUAGAGAACUUUUCAAGAUGUCCGAGGAAGUAUUUGGUCUACCAAGUGAUGGACCAAUAAUGUUGCCUUGUGAGGCAGCCUUCAUGGAGUAUGUAGAUUCUUUGAUUCAACAAUGUGUUGACAGAAAUUCUGAGAAAGCACUGCUAGUGUCAAUUGUUAGUAAUAGAUGUGCAUUGUCGAAUUCUCUGCAUCAAGGACAGAGUCUCCAGCAGUUACUUGUCUUAUCAGCAGGCGGCUACAGUAGCAUUCUCUUUCGAGUGAGUUCACAUUUCUUUGCGGCGUUUGACAACGAGUCAAUGACUACAUUUUAAACGAAUCAUGAUCGUUUGGAAAGGAACUUCAGCAAAGACAUUUUUAUACCAGCCGUUCUUAUGUAAAACGUUUUUUGCUUGUCUUACAAAUUCCUGAAGUCCUGUUUUUUUCCCUCAUUGUCCCUCCAUUAAAAAAACACAGAGAUACGAGAGGCGACGGGCUGGGAAGAAGGAGAAGCGAGGCCGAGAAAGGUGAGAGAUGGUGGAGGAAAAUGAAAAGAAAAACAGAAGCAGGGGAGACGAGAGGCGAGGGGGCUGAGAAGAAGGAAAAGCAAGGCCGAGAAGGUUGAGAGAUGGUGGAGCAAAAAGAAAAGAAAUACAGAAACAGGGGAUUAGGAAUUAAAAUGCAGAGGGAAAGGAAAAAAGAAAGGAGGGAGAGGAGGAGUUUGCAGUCAAAGAUCAGAAGCAUGUUGGAAGCAAUGUCGUGAUGUCAGCUUUGCGAAGCUCACAGGGGCACAGUAAGUGACACAAGGUUUCAAGCAACAGAAGGGGUCGAUUAUGAUGAAAUUUACAGACGGGUGGUCAAGCCAGUCUUACAUUCAGAUAAUUUUCUCCUGCUGUCUCUUUUCGGCGGCUUUGAGGAUUUCUAAAUGUACCAGCUACGUGGCUUUGAAGAUCCUAAGCAUCUGGAUUACGUGUGCGAAUUACAUAAAUGAUUAUACAGCCUCAAGCUUUAGUUUACCCUGGAUAUUUGCUACGGCUCAGUCAUAAGAAGUUCGCAUCGAGGAGUGUUUCUAUGGAUCAUUGGAAUGGACCGUGGAUUGUGGAGCAUGUAUGGAACCUUAAUGAUUAAAGAAUCAAUGAAUAUAAAUAUUUUCUCCUGGUUCUAUCUAAAUGUAUUCCCAAUGGGUUGAAGAUUAUCCUAUUUAGAGCUUAACUCUAGAGAAUUUUUAUGUAAAGUACUUCCACUUUCAUUUGGCUGAGAAAGAUGAACAUUGUAUAGAGAUACCAUAAAGGCAGAUUUGGAAGGUUAAAGCUUCGUCUAGAGUGGCUUUUUCUGUUUUAUAGGCAAUUAGAGAGUGUAUUUUAAUUCUAGACAAGUUGAUCUUAGGAGAGAGAAUAUUUGUUAAUGGUUAUUUCCUGAGCAGGAGUGAUGCAGAAUCAUACAAGCAUUUUCUACUGUGGUAUGCCUUCAUUAUAGCAUAUCUCAGCAUUCACAUUGUUAGAGAACUCUUCAAAAUAUCUGAGGACGAAUUUGAUUGAAAAACAUGUUGAUAAGAAAUUUGGGGAAAGUAUUUAGUGUCAAUUGCUUGUAACAGAUGCAUGUUGUCAUAUUCUUUCCAUCGAGAACAAUGUAGCGGGCAAUCACUUCUCUGUUAAU